GCUGCCCCUCCGCUCCCUGUGAGGAGCUGCAGCCGCCAUGAGGCCUCCCCUCAGCUCCUCUGCUCUGGGCUGAACAAACCCAGGGACCUCUGCCGCUCCUCACACCCCUUGCCCUCCAGACUCCUCACCAUCUUUGUAGCCCUCCUUUGGACACUCUCUGAUAGCUUUAUGUCCUUCUAACUGUGUGGGACCCAAACCAAAACCAGUGCUGGAGGUGAGGCCUCACAGCGCGGAGCACAGAGAGCAGCCCGUCCCCUCACACAGUGGCAGUGCUGGGCCUGGCGUACGCUGUGGCACGGUUGGCCCUUUGGGCUGCCAUGGCACACUGCUGGCUCAUGUUUAACUUGCCAGAACCCCCACAUCCCUUUCUACAGGGCUCUCUCCAGCCUCUUGCCCCCUGGUCUAUAUAUAUAAAAAGCAUGUUCUAAAUACUCAUAGCAAUGGAGUCCCCGUGCUUUCAUGCCAUGCUAUGUGGAAGGAAUUUGCACUUCUUCUCACACUGAUGUUCAAAAAUAUUAAAAAUAAAAAAAGAAGGAACUGUGCUUGAUGAUCACAGGCAUUGUUAGCCAACUACUGCAGCCAUGUUCACAGUUUCUUUGCAAAUCUCCCCGCACAUCAUAGGUGCGUGGCAGGGACUUCGACGAGCAAGUGGGCAAGCUGUCGCAGACCAGGAGGUGUUUGGUCCAUAUGCUUCAGCUGGGAGGUGGGAUGUCACUUGGCACCAUAACGUCCCAGUUUUCUUUUCUCAAGGAUUAGGAAAAGUACAGAAACCAAAUGCUGAGGCAAACUCCGUGGGCAGAGCCCUGUGUCAGGCCUGCUUACGUCAGGCCGAGUGUGGGGCGUUGCUGGCUGCAUGUCACAGCUCAGAGGAUGCCGGAGGCAGAUGUAUUGUUUAAAAUCUCAAUAAUAUUUUCUGAAGGCUUUUGAAAUUAUGGCAUCAAUGGAGAAAAAAAUCUCUGCAGUGUGUCUCAGCCUCCUGCUGUGAGACCUGAGAAGGCAGCCAGUGUCACCUUAGCUGUUACAUCGGGAGAGGACAGCGCGGAGUACCAACCUCAGCUCCUGCUGUAAAACCAGUGUGGAAAAUCAGGUACCAGAAUUAUGGUUUCACAACUCAGUGUAUGAAAAGCAGCCUCUAUGAAGAGACUAUAGCUUGGCAAUCACCAUGUCUUUGUACUGGGGUUUUCUUGCUUAAAACCCUGACAGAAUGGUACUUCUCCCAAUCACUGAAGGUAAAGUAAAAUGCAGAGCGUCCUUAUGCAAUCUGGAGUUCCCCUUUCGAAACAGCAGUCUGGGGACAAAGUCAUUGGUCUAGGCUAGGAAAAAAUCGCUUACACAAGAUAAACAAGGGCGGACUGCUGCCAUCCUUCCUUUCGCCUUUAUCUCUAAACCUUAACCUUAAAUUACAAAUCAGAGGUUGACACAGUGCUAUGCAUCUGCAACUACUGAAGCCAGCUAAAUUUUAAUAGAUCUUACUUACAUCAGUGAUGAUGAAGGCUCGAAAGUUUCUCUAGCCCACAGAAAUGCUUCCAAGCUUUUAAAGUUCAAAAGCAAAUAUUUUAAUAUAUUACUAAGGAUGUUUUCAAAUUAAAUAAUUAGUUCUGUUUACAUGGCAUUUCAUUAUCAACAGGAAAAUGAUUUACUAGUUCUGUAUCUUUGUUUCGAAUCCAAGUAGAAAAGUAGAAAUAACUUCAUUUUCAAAAUCUUGUCAAAUUUUUGUGGGCACAAUGUUUCUUUAAACAUCAACUAUAAUAAUAGUAGUUUUCGGUCACAGUGUUGGAGCCACCUCAGUAGUAUUGGCAACAGGUCACUCACAAGUGCUUCAGCAGCAUGCAGAGCUCUGAGAGGCUGUAGAACAUGAGCACAGAGACCAGAGCAAUGGAACAGGCUGGAAUACUAUUUUCCUUGGAUUUGCAAGGAAUAGACUUCUGCAGCUUUCAUAAAGAUAAGGUAACUGCUCCAAAGUGACAUUUUUGCUUGUACUUAGUGUCCAGCAGAACAAACUCAUCAAGGUGCUGGUUAUGUGAUGAUGACUUCACUCCAGACAAAGCAGAUAAGGUCACAAGAAUGGUUUAUCCAGACGGGCAAAGUAUUGUAGAGAUGAGUGAACAGCAUGAUAGAUGAACUUCUGGUAUUCACGGACACCUCACCCAGGCCAUCUCCAUUGGAGGCCAUGUGCUGGCAGCUGUGUCCACGGUGUUAGGUUCGGUUCUGAAGAUCGGGUGAGAUUAGUUGCCAGCACCUUGAGCCUUCGUUAAGAAAGUUCUGUUUGUUGUUUAUUUUUCUUCUUUUUCUAAGUGCGAUUAAUCUCAGCAUCACUCAUAUUUAGAGGAAGAAAAGCUUAAGAUUCAGUGAAAUUUCAGAGGCACUUCAUUUGAUAGAUCCAAGCUGGUAAUUAAGCCAGUUAGAUAGGAUGGUAAUGGUUAUCAUAGAGCUCCUUUGAUUAUGUUUUCCAUCUCCUGGCCAUGUUUUCCGUCUCUUGGUCUUAUGAACAGGAGAACCUGCCCUGGUGCAGCAUUGGGAGCUCCAACAGACACAAGAAGGGCUCUCUGCCCAUAGCCCACCUGUCGCUCUCGCCUCUGCUGUGCCCUUCGUCCCUUGUAAAUCACUAGUCCCUCUGAGGCUGGGAAAAGUAAGCAUCCACUUUUAGUAACUGUCUCAUUUAUUUCCAUAGGAGCUUCAGGUCUCUCAAGAGGCCAGCAUUUUGUUAUAAGGAUGACACAGGAGCUAGGAAUGAGACUGGGCUUGUGGAAAUCUGUAGAAGUAAUAUACUUUCUAUUAAAAAAAAAAUUGUACCUCAAGGCAGAAGGACAGCUAGAAUUAUGUAGUGUCCUUCUUUAACGGAAUGAUAUGGUCUCCUUCUUUAGCAGGAGCCAGGCUGGGGUGCAGAAGGAGAGUUUGUACGUGGUUGCUGUUUAGUUUUUUCCUUUCCCAUUUUGCAUAUCUCUUCCAGAGAUUCCUGGAAACAGACUUCUGCUGACUUUUGAUUAUUAUGAAACAGAGCAGUCCUGGAAAGAAACCGGGGUCUGAAAACACAUCAGGGCAAUGGGCAGCUCAAUAAAUACACUGUUGUUAUCUGUCAUUGUAGCCUUCACAAGCUCACUACUUGAGCUGUUGUAUACAUGGGAGGGGCUGCCAGACCUUUCCAGUGACAGCUUUCUGCAUUGUGAGAUGCUUUUACUUCUUGUGUCUUGAGGGUGUUCAGCUAAAGCAGGCUGGGAGUGACAUCAAGAUAGGCUCCUGCAUGGGUCUGUGAGGGGUCUGGAAGCAGUUUGUCUCAAGGAUUUUCCUCAUUUUGUUCUCUGCAAUGUACAGAAGAAUCAAGAAAAAACAAAACACCAAAAUGAUUUGGUUUUAGUUUUUAUUUGGCCAAAAGGUUAUUCUGUUAUGGGCUGUAGAGAGGAGAUUUAAACAACUGUCUCAGAUAAAAAUCACUGGAGCACAACUGAGGAUUUCCACUAUCUCUAAGGCAGUAAGCGUAUACCAACCACAAGCAGCCAGUGGUAUUUUGGUUCAUUUUAAGUGGGCCUAAGUAAGGACCACAGCAACUGCACAAACACUGAGCCCCAUACAGUGUCUUGCCACCUGUUUCUGUGAUUUCUUUGGCCUGUUGACUCAUACAUAUAUAUUUUUUUCUGGAAGCUAAGGAUGCUUGCCAUGCUGAAAAUGCCCUUGGUUUGGUUUUGAGCUUGGAUGAAGUUCCUCCAAAAUGCUUCCACGGUGAUUAAGUUUCUGACUUCUUUAUUUUUUACUUCAGUGUGGCAGGGAGUGAAAUGAGAGCCCCUCAUGCGCUAGGGAGAGAUGUGGGUUUGGUAGCUUCCUUCCUGCCGCCAUCCUGCUUGUGUCAGGCUGGAUGGGGAUUGUCCAGGAAAUCAUAGAAUCACAGAACAAUUUGAGGGGAUCUCAAGGCCCACCCAGCCCUAGCUCCCAGCCAUGGCCAGGGCUGCCCCCCAGCUCAGCUGCCCAGGGCUCCAUCCAACCUGACCUUGAGCACCUCCAGGGAUGUGACAUCACAGCUUCUCUGGGCAGCUGUGCCAGGGCCUGACUGCCAUGUCGGUCAAAAUCUUCCCCCUGAUAUUUUAUCUAAAUCUCUCAUCUUCUAGUUUAAAACUGUUCCCUCUUCUCCUAUCACUAUAUUGCUGUUCUCUUGGAGAAAAAAAAAAAAAAGCCAACAAAAAACCCUACAAAUAAGCACAGCUGAGCUUGUAGCAAGGUUGCAUCUUCCAUGGUGAAACUGGGAAGCACAGCCAUGAUCUGGGGCAUCCAGAGCUGUGAACAAGUGGCCAGUUUGCUUUGUGUGCUUUCAGCUUCUAGUCUUUUUCCCAACAUUAACACAAGAGCAGGAAAGAGAACCUGCCUACUCCUCCAGAUUUUGAAACUGUCAGUGCAAACACGUCACGAGCCUGCGGUGCUUUCACUGUUUUUAUUUUUGUACAAUGCUUUCCGUUGCAGAUAUAUUUUGUAAAAACUUCCCUCCAAACCACCUUUGGAAAAUAUGUUUCCCCUGUUAUCCCCGACAUUCCAAGUUCAAAUUCUUUUGGUGUUUUGAGCAAAACAAAGCAUUUUGACCCCAAGAGCUUUUGCUGAAGACUUUCUGAGCUACAAACAGGCAAGGAAAUGCUACUGGCCCUGCGUUCAUGAGACCCCAUCCAGGAGUGAGAGAAUGAACCCUACCAAUGCAGCUCAAUGGGAGAAACGAAAUCUUGCAACUAAACUGUAGGAUUAUGCAUAUUAGCACACAAAUUGCUCUCUAAAUGACAAACACUGAACGAAAUGAACAUCUAAAGCUCUGGGGAGGAAUGAUCAGUAAGGCCAGGCCGGUAAAAUGCAAUUAUUUUUUUCUGUAUAUACAAACAAAACAACAUCUUGCUGAAAAUACAAGUUGUCCACUGCCACUGAAUAGCCAGGCUAAGCAACAGCACUUCUUUUUGACAUAGGGGUGGCACAUUAUGCAGUUUUUCCUUUAAAUUAGAAAAAUCAAGACCUUGAGGAAUGCCUACCAGCUUUCUGAAGGCUGCUGCAGAAAAGCACGGAGGUGCUGGCUCCCAUCCUUGUCUCCCCUGCAUUUUCUCACAGUCUAUCUCCUGGGCUGCACAGUGUCAGCAUGAAGGUUUGCGGCACAUCGAGCGGCGGGCGAUCACUCAAGGAGUAACCAUCCCACUAUAAACUGCAGUUUUGCCAAAUGAAACCACUGCUGCCACAUGCACCUGGCUGAAAUGCCUGAGUGGCUGCUGCUGGUGGAGAAAUCUAUCUUUCAGCAGCCCCACAGGAGGCCAUGUGCUUUGAAACAGGGUUCAGGGGUGGGAGCUGCUUUCCUCUUGGGCAGACCUCAGCCAGGAAGGCGCCAGCUCUGAGCACCUGAGGUCUGCCCAUGGGGUUUGGGCUUGGGGCCGUACGUUGUGUCACUUGUGGAAAGGGGAUGAGGUGAUCAGGAGCUGCUGAAAACCACACACCAAUGAAUGUGGACAGGCUGUCAAUAUCUCUUCUCCACUAAUAAAUAUUCCUGGCUUUUAAACUAGGAGGUGCUCUCCAAGAAGCGGCUCCUGGAGGCCAUGAAAGUGCCUCAUGUCUGGCUGCGUCAGGCACCAGCCCUGCCAAAAUCUGUGCUGUUGAAAGAAAUAUGGGGAGUGCCUUGUUUGUUGCUCUCUGCCACCAGCUCUGUUGCUCCAUCCUUCAGUAGGCAGGGCACCAGCCAAAAGCCUUGCCUGGCCCCAUGCAGGUGCCCUGGGUGUCACAGACAUGGCAAUAUGCGAGCUGAUGGAUUGGGGUACAUCUGACCCUGUGAGAAUAGCAGAAAUACCCCACUCAAAAUUAUGGAACCAAUGGGUGUUUUGUGUUGGAAAGGAUCUUUUAAGGUACCAUCCGGUCUGAGCCCCCAGCCAUGGGCAGGGCUGCCCCCCCUCAGCUCAGGCUGCCUAGGGCCCCAUCCAACCUGGCCUUGAGCACCUCCAGAGAUGGGGCACCAGCUUCUCUGGGCAGCUGUGCCAGGAUCUCAACGCCCUCUGAGUAAAGAAUUUAUUUCUUAUAUCUAAUAUAAACCUACCCUUAGGGGGGUAAGUGUGAAAUCUCAGGCUGGACCUGGUCACCCGGACGUCCAUUCCCAUGACAAGAGACUUGAAAUGCCAGAAGACAGCACGCUGCUUGAGGAACAGGUGUUUAGUAAGGAUUUUGGGGGGCAGUUUUUUGUUCCUGCAUCACAGCUAGGAGCGUGGUUUUCAUGGAUGGCAACAUGGUGCCUGAGCAAGAGGCUGAGGGAUCCAGCAUCUCCACAUUCAUCACUGUGAGCCUAGCCCUGCACUGACGGUAUCUUCCUCGGGUUUUGUGUGUCUCUGCCUAAUGCCUUUAUUUGCACAAGUUUUUAGGAGUGUCAGAGUGGCCAAACUCGAUGGAUUGCCUGUCUGAAAUAUUGAGAUGCAGUCACAGCUGUUUGUCUGGGUGUAUUGAUUCAUACUUAUGCCCUAAUUUUUUAAUUACCAAGUUCACCUGCAAGUUGUCUCUGGGGAACUCUCUUUUUUAUUUCCUCUUCCCAAAGUGAAAAAUACUUGGUCUGCCUCUUUCCUGCUUUCAUACUGAAGGUAAAAUAGGAUUACAUAUUUGAAUAAGUAGGAUGCAAAACACCAUUCAGGUUAAAUCUGGGCUUCUCUCUGUUGGUGGGUGAGAAAACAUUGGUAUCUGCUUUCCUUACAAGCUGGCAAUGUUCUGCUACAGUGCGAAAUGUGCACUGCCAAGUAGAGAUGAAGGCACAGAUGGAAAGCAGCAAGGCGGUGCAGGAGAGACAUUGCCAGGGCAGGGCUGCACCACGGCUUGUGACUUCCCAAAGGCCUCACCCAGCCUAUGCUUGGGCACACAUGGGCUGGGGUUUCCCAAAAGCUAAAGCAGCCCUGCACCGGGCUGGCACUGGGUGCCUGCUGCUGGGUGCUGAUAGUGCUCGGGGCACGAUGGAGCCCCAGGCCUAUGCUCACCUCUCCCACCCCUGCAGGGUUCCAGGUGCUGCCUGUGAUGGAGACAAGGGCGUGUGGAAAGCAGUGGCUCCAGAUGAGCUGUGAAGGAGUGAGGAGAUUGCCUCAGAGGACAAACAGAUAUAAUUAUCUGCAGCAGACUCAGAGUCUGUGUUGCAACCAUUUCCUCCUUAAGACCUUGGUGCACCCAAAGAAGAAAAACUUCCUGGUUUCUGUGCAAAGAUGCAUGACAGCAUGAUUUAUCACAAGUGAGCCACACUGCCCCAAACCUUCGUUAUCCUGCUUUCAGUGCACCUGUGGCAUCACCUGCCCUAGAAAAGCAGGUGGUGAGAGCCCAGCUCUGGGUUGAGGCAGCUUAGAGGUAUGACUUAGAGAAAGGCAAAGAGGCUGCAGACAAAGGCUUUCCCUUUCCUUCAAAGUCCAUCUGGAAAGCAUAAGCUGUUUUUCCUCAGAGUAUUUAGCUGUGUUUCCCUCUUGCUUUUCAUGCUCAUUGUUGCGUCUUAUCCUGUCCUACCUUGUGUGCUGCUGCUCUGCAUGGGUAGAGGGAAAGAGGUGUCAUCCUUUCUCUCCCUUGCUUGGGACAGAGCUCACAGUUUAGCUUUCCCUCUGCUCUUGGAUGUACUUACUGUCAGAAAGCACACAGCGAGGGUGAAUACUCAUGCUCCAAAGCAGUAACGCACGGCUCAGUGUGGGACUGUCACAGACUCACAAACUCUGAGUGUUUUCACUAGGAAGUUGAGGAUGGAGCAGUGAAAACACAA